UUUUUUUUAAAUUGAGAUCAGUAUAUUCAUACAGAGCAAUGUUUUGUUUUUAAAAAUAAUAUAUAAAGACCAAAAUCUUGGCACAUGCUUUCUCCAGCUAACAAGGCAUUCUUGGUACCUACUUUAGUAGGACAGCAGGCCGGCACUCUGCACUCCGGAGUGAACUGACCUUUGCCUUAAAAUCACUUUGUGACUUCAGAAGGUGGCUGUGGUUCUGUGCCUUUCAUGGCAUUUACGUUCUGUGAUUGAGUUCACUUCAGAAGUGCCCAAGCAGGCAAGGCUCACACACCAGGCUGUGAGGUGAGGUGGUGCAGUGUGUAAAGCUUGCUCACACACCAGGCUGUGAGGUGAGGUGGUGCAGUGUGUAAGGCUCACACACCAGGCUGUGAGGUGAGAUGGUGCAGUGUGUAAGGCUCACACACCAGGCUGUGAGGUGAGGUGGUGCAGUGUGUAAGGCUCGCACACCAGGCUGUGAGGUGAGGUGGUGCAGUGGAUUUCCAUUGAGCAAAUGCCGUAUGGCAAGAUGGGGGAAUGAGCUUGGAGGAGUCCCACUAGAUGGUUCUGGUGGACUUGACAAAGUCACAUCUUGAAAGGCCCCUUUCCACACUCAGGAUGUGAGAUGGUACCAAGAGGAGUUUGGAGUGAUGAACUUGGUCUGGCAUGAAUGUGACUUGACCCUGUGACUAAAGCACUUACUCAGUAGUGACCUCUGAGAGGUGUUCAGUCCUAGUGCAGAAGCCGAGUGACUGGGGAACUCCAGGGAGACUGGGGACCUUUGGUAGAGGGGAAGACGUUUUGCCUGUUGUAAGGUAAGAUGUUUGUGUGCGGCAGCGGGGUACUGUCAUCUGGUGAACAGAGGCUGCGCAUGCUCUGGAUGGCUGACACAACUGACCGUCUGCCCCAAGACAGUGGCACUGAGGUGAGGAGCUGCUGAGGGGAGGGUGGUUCUGCAGCAUGGGGUGUGACUACUGCAGCUUCCCACCUCUCUAGGAAGUGCUGUUGUGUUGGUUGUACUUAACUCUUGUCAAAAUAUCCCACAGUCAGUCUGUAAGACAAAGUGUAAUGUAUAGAGUUUAAAUAAAACUAGACUGUCGAAUAUGUAAUGAAAAAGCCCCAAAUAAAAAAUGUUAAUUCUAA